rnacentral:rRNA from 1 species
UACGAAGGGGGCUAGCGUUGUUCGGAAUCACUGGGCGUAAAGCGCACGCAGGCGGAUUGAUAAGUCGGGGGUGAAAUCCCGGGGCUCAACCUCGGAAUUGCCUUCGAUACUGUCUGUCUUGAGUCCGGGAGAGGUGAGUGGAAUUCCUAGUGUAGAGGUGAAAUUCGUAGAUAUUAGGAAGAACACCAGUGGCGAAGGCGGCUCACUGGCCCGGUACUGACGCUCAUGUGCGAAAGCGUGGGGAGCGAACAGG